rnacentral:lncRNA from 1 species
CUGUGAAGAGCUUGAGGAGCUCGUCAAGGCAAUACAGGGGGAGAAGAAGAAUAAGAGGACUAGGUGGGAAGACUAAGGACAAGUAAGGAGUCACGAGAGACUUGAGUAGUAAUUGCAUGUAAAAAAGGUUGAAUGACCCAUCGUUUCUUGACAACUCUGUGUGGGUCUUAUUGAGCUAUUUGUUCAAAAACUUAAAUAUAAGUUUAUAAUCUAUGGUGAAAUAGUUAUUUGGCUUGAUUACAGGAUUAACUCUUUACUACAGUUAUUUUUUUACAAUUCGUGA